GUGUCCAGUACAGUACUACCCUGCCAGUCCACUCUCUGUCCAGUACAGUACUACCCUACCAGUCCACUCUCUGUCCAGUACAGUACUACCCUGACAGUCCACUCUCUGUCUAGUACAGUACUUCCCUACCAGUCCACUCUCUGUCCAGUACAGUACUUCCCUACCAGUCCACCAGUACAGUACUUCCCUGCCAGUCCACCAGUACAGUACUUCCCUGCCAGUCCACCCUUACAGUACUUCCCUACCAGUCUACUCUCUGUCCAGUACAGUACUUCCCUACCAGUCCACUCUCUGUCCAGUACAGUACUUCCCUGCCAGUCCACCAGUACAGUACUACCCUGCCAGUCCACUCUCUGUCUAGUACAGUACUUCCCUACCAGUCCACUCUCUGUCCAGUACAGUACUUCCCUGCCAGUCCACUCUCUGUCUAGUACAGUACUUCCCUGCCAGUCCACCAGUACAGUACUUCCCUGCCAGUCCACCAGUACAGUACUACCCUACCAGUCCACUCUCUGUCUAGUACAGUACUACCCUACCAGUCCACUCUCUGUCCAGUACAGUACUUCCCUGCCAGUCCACCAGUACAGUACUACCCUGCCAGUCCACUCUCUGUCCAGUACAGUACUUCCCUGCCAGUCCACCAGUACAGUACUACCCUGCCAGUCCACUCUCUGUCUAGUACAGUACUACCCUACCAGUCCACUCUCUGUCCAGUACAGUACUUCCCUGCCAGUCCACCAGUACAGUACUACCCUACCAGUCCACUCUCUGUCCAGUACAGUACUUCCCUGCCAGUCCACCAGUACAGUACUACCCUACCAGUCCACUCUCUGUCCAGUACAGUACUUCCCUGCCAGUCCACCAGUACAGUACUACCCUACCAGUCCACUCUCUGUCCAGUACAGUACUACCUUGCCAGUCCACUCUCUGUCCAGUACAGUACUUCCCUGCCAGUCCACCAGUACAGCACUACCCUGCCAGUCCACUCUCUGACUAGUACAGUACUUCCCUGCCAGUCCACUCUCUGUCUAGUACAGUACUACCCUGCCAGUCCACUCUCUAUCCAGUACAGCACUACCCUGCCAGUCCACUCUCUGUCCAGUACAGUACUACCCUGCCAGUCCACUCUCUGUCCAGUACAGUACUUCCCUGCCAGUCCACUCUCUGUCCAGUACAGUACUUCCCUGGCAGUCCACUCUCUGUCCAGUACAGUACUUCCCUGGCAGUCCACUCUCUGUCCAGUACAGUACUUCCCUGGCAGUCCACUCUCUGUCCAGUACAGUACUUCCCUGCCAGUCCACUCUCUGUCCAGUACAGUACUACCCUGCCAGUCCGCUCUCUGUCCAGUACAGUACUUCCCUGCCAGUCCACUCUCUGUCCAGUACAGUACUACCCUGCCAGUCCACUCUCUGUCCAGUACAGUACUUCCCUGGCAGUCCACUCUCUGUCCAGUACAGUACUACCCUACCAGUCCACGCUCUGUCUAGUACAGUACUACCCUACCAGUCCACUCUCUGUCCAGUACAGUACUUCCCUGCCAGUCCACCAGUACAGUACUACCCUGCCAGUCCACUCUCUGUCCAGUACAGUACUUCCCUGCCAGUCCACCAGUACAGUACUACCCUGCCAGUCCACUCUCUGUCUAGUACAGUACUACCCUACCAGUCCAC
rnacentral:lncRNA from 1 species